UACAGAGGGUGCAAACGUUGUUCGGAAUUACUGGGCGUAAAGCGCGUGUAGGCGGUUGCCCAAGUCGGGUGUGAAAGCCUUGAGCUCAACUCAAGAAAUGCACUCGGUACUGGGUGACUAGAGGACCGGAGAGGAUAGUGGAAUUCCCAGUGUAGUGGUGAAAUACGUAGAGAUUGGGAAGAACACCAGUGGCGAAGGCGGCUAUCUGGACGGUUUCUGACGCUAAGACGCGAAAGCGUGGGGAGCGAACAGG
rnacentral:rRNA from 1 species